CCUCAAAAAUAUUAUUAUUAAACAGUUAAAUAUUAUAAUCAUUAUUUUAUAAAAAUAUUAUUUAAGGUAAAUUUGCAAAGUGAAAAACUAAAUCCACAUUUUACAUCACAUAUUUAAAACCGAAACCACUGUGCGAUGAUCACAUGACUGAGGCGUCAUUAUUGAGUCGCGUUAUCGGCCAAUGUGGCGGAUGUGUAAUGUUUCCGCGAUCCAGUGUGGUCCAUCGGAGAAUCGUUCGUUAUGAAUUCUUGGGGGUUGGUUUCAUAAAUUUCCAAAUUCUGUUUCAUUUUAAAUGCGGUACGGAAGAGGUUUGUCGGAAUCUUGAUUAUAAGGUGAUUCCCCGCUUGCACAUAUAUCGAC
rnacentral:lncRNA from 1 species